rnacentral:rRNA from 1 species
UGGGGAAUAUUGGACAAUGGGCGCAAGCCUGAUCCAGCCAUGCCGCGUGAGUGAUGAAGGCCUUAGGGUUGUAAAGCUCUUUCACCCGGGACGAUAAUGACGGUACCGGGAGAAGAAGCCCCGGCUAACUUCGUGCCAGCAGCCGCGGUAAUACGAAGGGGGCUAGCGUUGUUCGGAAUCACUGGGCGUAAAGCGUACGUAGGCGGACCGUUAAGUCGGAGGUGAAAUCCUGGGGCUCAACCCCAGAACUGCCUUCGAUACUGGCGGUCUCGAGUCCGGAAGAGGUAGGUGGAACUGCCAGUGUAGAGGUGAAAUUCGUAGAUAUUGGCAAGAACACCAGUGGCGAAGGCGGCUCACUGGUCCGGUACUGACGCUGAGGUACGAAAGCGUGGGGAGCAAACA